GGGGAUGCAAUGGUUUCGACGGGGAUCGAGAAGCACGAUAAGCGAGUAGAGGAGUGCACCCUCUUAAAACGGCACACGUUUUAAAAUUAGACGACAACGAUAAUUUUGAACUGGCUGCUGCCUAAGCGCAGUGCCCGUCUUGCCUGAGAGUACCACGGCUCGGGAUAAGGCGUCGAUCAGUGGUGAACGUCAUUCGGUGAUGACUGUGGCCGCUUGAUGUAUUACAGUCUACUGAGCGAACAGGCGUGUCAGUUUGCCUGCCGCAAGGGAAUGUUUUAUAACUGACUAAACUCGUAGAAAUUCGUUCGGAACGGUUUUCGGACAGGAGUUCGAUUCUCCUCAUCUCCAU
rnacentral:tmRNA from 1 species